GCCCGCCCGCCCGCCGUGGGCGCAAGGCGAAGCUGCCCCGUCUGCCCUCGCCCGAGCCUUCGCUUCGCUUCGCUUCCCCCAGCUCUCCUCCGUCUGUGCCUGCGAUGGCUUCAUCACGGGUCAUUUUUCUGCCUGGCUGCCGCCCUCCCCCCUCAAGCAGGGUCUGCGGUGCAGUGCUGGAACAGAACUCUUCCCGAAGGGGUGUACGAGGAGGAGAGUUGAUGGGAGUAAUGUGCUUGCACAGGUUAUCGUCGUGAAGACAGCGGAAGAGAGGCCUUACAGACUUGCAUUAGCCUCACCUGUCUCCCCUCCCCAGCAGCUGUCUGCGCACAGGCAGGCUGCGGGGUUUCUUCUGCUAAAACAGUGGCUCCGCGUGCGCGCUCGCAGAGCAGAACCUGGAUGGCCGCGUCUGCGUCUCGGCUCUGGCAGCCUCGCUGUCAGGUGUGCGAGCGGGAGCUUGCAGCGGAGGCCAGGCGUAGGAAGAGUACGGCGAAGGGAGCCAGGCGUUGUUCGCUGUACUUUGUUGACAGUUCUUUGCAUUAUGACUUACCAUUCCUGAUAAGUCUUUAACAACACUUUUGGUCUGUUCUGGUCUGUUUCUAAGACUAAGGAGACUUGUAGGUGGAUAGUUUAAUGAGCCAGUAAACACGUUUCCUAGUUAGCUGCAAUUUAAGAAUUUUGGGUGAGGUUCUAAUGAACCUAUUAAGGUUCAGAGAGGGUUUUCUCCUUUAGCAUGUUCCCAAGAAAGGGAGCAAUCUCCUCUUUCAGAGACCUUUAUCUUAAUUUAACAGGCUGUUUGAGAUACCUAAGUUCAGGUUUCAUUUAACUAGAUCUUUGUUGGAAAAACGCGCACACACACACACACACACACCCCACUUGUUCCUUUUUUAGUUUCUACUUUUUUAAUCUUUAUCUAGUCUUACCAAGAAACUCUGUACUUCAAAUGAUAAUGAAAUUUAUCCCAAUUAGUAAUUGAAAUAAAAAAGCUCUGCAAUUUUUGAAUUCA
rnacentral:lncRNA from 1 species